GAGGCACCUCAGCCGAGCGCCGAGCGCUCGAUCACCCUCGCUCCCGCAGCCUACGGCCAGCUCACUGGUGGCUCCACCCGCCUUUGUAGGCCAGUAAUCCGAUAUGGAGCAUGCCAUUACCCCGUUGGAACCCCUGCUUCCCUCUGGUACUGUAUUUCUUUCCACGCUUUACAGUGACAUUGGUGUGCACCUCCCCAGAGCCCUGAUGAGAUUAAAAAGGCUGGACUCCAGACCCAGAAUGGUUUCUAGUUCGGCUCUGAUCUACUUCUACGCAUAUUGCUCAACCUCUUUUGUGCUUUAAUUUCCUUAUCUGAAAAAAACGAGAAUAGUUAUUAGUCCUUACGUAUAGCGUCGUCGUUAGGACUAAAUGAUGAUGUACUUCAUAUUCUCCACCUGGAGAAAAAUAAGCCCUGUCUUAAUGUUGGCUCUGAGGCUCCUAACAACCGUCUGAACUAAUCUCUAACAUAGCAGAACAUUAGACGCCAAAGGGGUAAAGAUCAGCCUUUAUUGCUUUUAUUAUUGCCUAUCCAUUGUGCCCAUUUUAAAUCCAUCGAAAAUGCCCGAGAUUACCCAGUAAAAAUGGUUUAAAGAUACCGUACAUAAGGAUUUAUUUUAAAAUGGUGUAAUUCGCAUGGAAAUAGAUCGGAGAAUGAGUUUUUUCUGAGGCUAAUUGUUAGUUGCAUUUAUUAUCAUGGGUGGUAACAGACGUGUACGAUAAUUUCGUAAUUUUAAACAUGUUUUACUUACUAGGUUUUAUUGUGUUACUGUUGGGUAGAACUUCUAGUUUAUCAGUUCACCUAUUUAAACAGUGUAUAGCUUUUUAAUGUUGAAAGUUGUUUUCUGGAAUAUGAAUUCAACAUUUUUUGGGGGUAUUGAAUUUGUCAGUGUUCCCACAUUCUGGCAAUGUUUAUGGUAAAACAAAGACUAACAAUAGCAGGGGACACAGACUCCUUACUCUCCAGUCAUUUGCAGUGUUAAAUUGUUUGCACAUACUUUAACUUUAUAGGUGAAGGAAACAGGUAAUAAUGGAACUAGAAUCUGAAACCUGAUAUAUUUGACCCUGUUAAGAAGUUGAGUAUUUAAUUAUUACUCUGAACAGCUUAUCAUAAGUCAAGAAAAGCAUUGGCAAACAAACAUUUUGUAAAUGAAAUUUCAUAGUGCUCAGUUUGUCAACAGUAGCAGGGCCAGCAAUAUUUCCAAGAGUAAACACCAGAUUCAGUUGGCCUGUGGACACUCAGAUUUGUUUCUAAACCUAAGCACUUUACUGACAAAUUUCUAGUGUUUUCUAGGUUGAAAGAGGUAUAUCAUGGAGAGAGUGCUGCGUGGUAAAGAUUGGAGUGAGGCAUCAGGAUCUCUGGGUUUAAAUCCUAGCUUUGCAGGUUGUAUUUCAGUUUCUUUGUAAAGUGGGAAUAUUUCGCAGGGUUAUUGUGCAUAUAAAUGAGUCAUAGAAUGUGUAAAGCAGUUAGCUUCAGUGGUGGUAAGCCAUUAGAUUCAGCCAGAAGGAUCAAGUGGUUGGAUCCAAGGGUCAGUGUUGAGAUGGAAAAUGUUUGGAGCAGUAGACUGUAGGAAGGACCAUUCUGCUCCCUGUCUUUUAUCAAAGGCUUAGGGAGGUCUUGACUCCUCCGGUUAGACAGUUGGAAGCUCCUCACUGGGACAGGGCAUAUGGGGGACUGUUAAGAACUGUGAUACCCGGUAUGAAGCACAAAUCCCCCACCAGGCAGAUCCUGGUCUCCUUUGAGGAGUUCUGUGGGGUUUGAUUGCUUUUCUAGUUUCUUCCUCUUGUUCCUAGCUUCUAGAGAUUCCUAUCUCAUCUCAAACAUUGAUUUAGGAACAAGGGCUCUUUGCAAGUUUACUUUGAGUCUAGCUAUGUGAGAGAUAUUUAAAGACAAAAGUCGGUGUCCUGAGGAGCCCCUUAAAUGCCUGUCCCCUUAUAGUAAUUAGGUAAAUACUUAAGGUUAACUUUUACGUUUAGAGGGAUUCCCUUCAUCAAACAGACAUUUAAUACUUUCUAGCAGAUGGGUAUUUUUGUCUAUUAAUAACUUCUGUGAUUUUAAUUUGUAGGUGUGGUUUAUCUGUAAUGCUCACCCAGAUUUAGUAGUGGGCAAUCUACCAAACUGGUUCUCAUCAAAUUAACUAAUUGCUCAGUGGACCAAAAUGCUCAUCUCUGGAAUGAUCGCUAGCUCAGAGAAAUACGUAUUUUUUUAGUCUUUGUUUUCUGUAACAAAAUUAUAAAGUAAAUGGUUAUUUAAAGAAAAACAACUCUAACCUCUUCUAGAAAUAACCAAUUUUUUUUUUUUUUUUUUUGGCUUUUGGGGGCUGUACCCACGGCAUAUGGAGGUUUCCAGGCUAGGGGUCUAAUCAGAGCUGUAGCAGCCAGAGCCACAGCAACGCCAGAUCCGAGCCGUGUCUGCACCCUAACACCACGGCUCAUGAGCGAGGCCAGGGAUCGAACCUGUGUCCUCAUGGUUCCUAGUCAGAUUCCCUUCUGCUGCACCACAAUGGGAACUCCCGAAGUAGCUAUUAUUAACAGUUCACAUGUUCUAAAUAUUUAUUUUUGUAUAUAUACCCCAGCAGAUUAUUACUCUUGUUUUAAAUAAAAUGGAUUUAUGUUGUACAUUGUUUGGUAAAUUAUUCUUUGGAAGCAGUGUAUGAAAAUAUAUCAAUAUUCUUAUGUUACAAACAUUGUAUGUGCUCUUUGUUCAGUUUUUUUUUUUUUUAACAAAGUAGAAGUGUUUCUAAUGUUAAAAAACAAGAUUCAAGUAAAUAAAUAUUACAGAUCUUACUCAAUGAUUGUUCAACAAUUCUUGUAUUGGGCAGUAUGCAGUGCAGCAGACAGAAAGAAGCCUGUAGGAGUUGUGCAAAAGGAAAGAUUUUUGUAGGAGGAAGGGAGCAGAAAGAAGGAAGUUACACUAACAAAAAGUCGAUUGGUUCUAGGAAGGUUACUUUCCUUUUGGGGAUGGCAGGGGCCUGUCUGGCAGAUGAUUUCACUGGUGCUGCUUGAUUGAUUCCUGAUUGGCUGGUUUAAGAUUCCACUUUGGGGAGAGCUGAAACUGUACAUAACUGGGUUAAACAUUGAGUCUGGGUUUGACAACCUGGUGCUUAGCAUAAUCAACUACGCUUUGGACCUGUUAUCUUGUUUCUAACACUGCACAGUCCAUCCUACUUGGCAGUGAUUAUCAUUCUAGAACCUUGUAUUUUUCUAAAUUGUGUGUGUAUAUAAAAAUGAAUAUAGGACCUGUUUUAUGCCCUUUUCUGCAGCUUUUUUUUUUUUUUUCACUUGCCAGCUUGUUAUGGUCCAUAUGAUAUCCCAAGUUUUGUUUUAUUAAUGGGCUGUAUAGACACAAAGGAACUAGGCUUUCUUAAUAGACAUUUAGGGUAUUUUUAGUUUUAAUUGUCACAAUCUUUGUAAUACUUUUGCAUAUUUAUUGGGGCUAUUCAGGAUAAAUUUCCAAAAAUGGAAUUACUGGAUCAAAGGGUGUGUUUGCCUUUCUGUUAUCUAGAGGACCUGAUAGCUAGCUAGUGUGUGUCCUUUGAUGCUAAGUGCUAUGGAGGAUACACACAUGUGAUCCCUUUUCUCUAGAAGUUUACAGUCUUGGAGUUGAGAACAAAACAAGAUGGAUUCUAAUUAGAUAUUGAAUUAGGACCCACACAAGAACUGUAGAAACUGGGGAGAAGGAGAUGAGCGUAGGUUGGAGAGAAAUCAUGGGAUGGAUAGAUAUGAGGUGGGCAUCCAGAAAAGCCACCUGAUGUCUAUAAAUUUAAAUUUAAAUGGAUUUAAAUUUGCAAGAAACUUGGAGUUCCUGUUAUGGGACAGCAGGUAAAGGAUCGAUUUUAUCUCAGUGAGGAUGUGGGUUUGAUCUUCAGGCCUUGCUCAGUGGGUUAAGGAUGUGGUGUUGCCACAGGCCAGGGUGUAGGUCUCAGAGGUAGCUUGGAUCCCCCAUUGCUGUGGCUGUGGCGUAGGCUUCAGCUGUAGCUCUUAUUCAGCCCUAAACUCAGGAACUUCCAUGUGCAGCAUGUGUGGCUGUAGAAAGAAAAAUAAAUUGUGAGAGGCCUAGAGGAAGCAGAAGAGUGUUGCCGUAGAUGGGCCUUCCUUGAGUGAAAGCGCAGCGCCACCUGUGUCCCAGGAGCAAGUUCUGUUCAUCUGGUGUGGAGUGAAGAGAAGGAAGGUUAGAGAGUACAGGUGAAGGUUUUGAAAGUAGAGCUGAGCAGUGAGGGUAAAACCAAAUUGUGGACAAAAGAGAAAUUUAUUGCAGGUUAGGAGAUAGAAAGCUUUUGAACAUUUUUGUGUCCUCCCACCUUUGGAACAUUCUAUACAAAGGAGUCUUUUUAUGCUCUAAAGCUUAAUUAAAUUAACCAUCCAUACCAUGGUUCAGCAUGGCUCAUCAUAUAAAAGUUGGAAGUCCUUAUCUUGACCUUAAAGGCCCUUCACGAUCGAUUCUUAACUACUUUUCCAGAAUACUUGUUAAUCACUCUCCUCUUUGUGUUCAAGCCAAGCUGAACUCCCCACUGUUUACUUAUUUGUUGGAGCUGCAUUACUCUUGCUUAAGCUCUAGCUACAUUUAUCACUUGGAAUGUCCUUUUUCAAACUGCUUUUCUUAACUUUUAGGCCUCCUGUGGGUAUGUAGAAGUGUCUCUGUGAUUUUAACUUGUGUUUCCCUUAUGGCAGAAUGCUGAUCUUGUCACCUGUUAUUUGGUCAUUCACAUGUCUUUAGUGAAAUGUUUGUCUCUUGACAUUUUUCUAUUGGGUCUUCUUUGAUUUGAAAAAAAAUCAAUUUGUAUGCAUUUUUUAAAAUUGAGAUAUAGUGGCUAUAUAACUUUGUAUUUUUGAUUUGAUGCAUAUGGGUAUAUAUAUAUAUACAUAUAUAUAUAUACACACACACACACAUGUUUACAAAGUAAGAGUUUCUUUACAUAUUCUCAAUACAGUUCUUUAAAUCUUGAUUUUUGUCAUCAAUAAAAUAGAAUGACACUUUACAAGGAGAGUUUUUAUGAAGAUUAGAGUAUCUGUAUAGCAUUUAACUGAUAUAUAAUAAGAAGGCAAACAUUUUAGUUAUUUUUCUUACUGCCUUCUAAACUUUCUAUCUAAAUAUAUUUUUUAAAUUAGUAAACAGUAUUUAAUGGGUAAGGGCAUACUGUCAUUUUAAAUUCUGUAAAUAUAGGUUCCUUUUCAAAAUAUUUUUAUAAAUCUGGACUUUUUUUGUCACUUCUUCAGUAUCUGUAAUCAUUUGAGUUUUUAUUAUGAAGCUUUAUGUUUAGAACUCCAUAUGUUGAAAGUAAAUUUUAUUUAUUUUUAACACUUUGUAGCUAAAAUAGAAGUAAAGAGUCAAACCAUCCUCAGAAUCAUUAUUUUAUAUGUGCGUAUUUCACAAACUUAUGUCACAGAGCAACCAAUUACAGAGGUUUUAAUUUCUGGUUUACUAAAAAUACUGAUAUUUAAACAUUUUAAUAUAUUUUUACAAUGUCGUACAUGUGUAUUAUAAAAAGAAGAUGCAGAUAAACAACAAUGAAAUAAAAAAUGCCAUAUUUCAGCCUCUCAGAGAUUACCUCUAUUAUCGCCAUGAAUGUGUACUUUUGGUAUGUGGGUAUUUAUAUUCCUCUAGAUAUUUUUUGUGUAUAAAUACACAGGUAUUUCUAAACCAAAAUGAGAGCACACUGUAAGUUGCUUAUUUAGUAGAUGACUUCACAUUUCCAUAUCAGAUUUCAUAGUAUCUAGUACCCAACCAUAUUUAAAUUGUCUCAUUCUCAAAAUAACUUUUCCAGGUGCUUGUUCCAAACCAGGACUGCCUGUGCAUUUGGUUCAGUCUUUUUAAAUCUAGUGCAGUUGUCCCUCACAUUUUAAAUCCCCUGUAGUAUUGAAUAUUGAUGUUUUAAAUAAAGCGCUUCACUCUGAAGUGGAUCUGAUGGAUUAAAAAAUACAGCAAUUUGAUAUGACUCAUUGUUCACUUAAAAAUACAUAAUAAACUCCAACCAAAAAGUUCCAUUUUAUUUUUCCCACAUAAUUUCAUCAUAAAUUUAUGCUAGGAAGCCUUUUAUCUAUCUAUAUUUCUUUGCAAAAAAGAUUAUGUAUAUUUAAAUUAAAAAAAAAUUCCCUUGACCAUAAUGCUUGGGAGUUACUUAUUCUAAACUGAAUUACCAUAGCUGAAGUUCAUUAUGAAUUGAAUUCCCAUUUCUGAGUAUUAAGAGUUCACACUUGAUCAAGUCAACAUAAUUGUAUUACAAAUUUUUGUAAUAACUAACAUUUACAUAACACUAUGUGCUUGGGUGUAGUUUUAGUGCUUUAACAGGGUAAUGCCUUUAGAAAAGUUUUGAAACAAGGAGUCCCAGGUUUGAGUGUUAGCCAUCCUCUUCAUUAGUUACUUAACCGUUGGCAUGUCAUUUAAUUGGUUAGAAACUUAGUUUCUUUACCUAUGUAAAGUUAGGAUACAUACACACAUGAACUCCUUGGGCAAAUUUAAGCUACUAUAAAGUAUAAAAAGCAUGUUUAAGAAGUAGAGUCUGUGCAGAUGUGAAAUGCUCUGCACUAAUGAGCUUUAUUAUACUGAUUAUUAAUUUUUGAAAACCUACGUUCAUUUUUCUAAUUAAUUCUCAAAGGAGUCAACUACUUAUUUUACUAAAUGUGUUCAGUCCAGUAAGGCAAAUCUUCCAGAACUGUUGUUUCCUGAAUUCUAUAUUUUCUAAUAUGCUCAUUGAAUUAUUUAUAUGUAUGAAAUUAUUAAUAGCGGUCAAACCAUUUUGAUGCCUCAUGGUUAAGUGAAAGUGAAUCUGGGAAUAUCCCAUUCAGUAUAGUAUUCCUGCCAUCUCUUGUAUUUCUGGAACUUAAUUUCUGUUGACAAUGCCUGAUGGCUUCACAAAAAAUAAAACCUGAAGAUAGAUAUUUGCCUUCUGCAAUUUACUAGAGGCUAAUUUGGGAAUCCCUGGAUAAUCUGAUUCCUUGGUAAUAUAAAUGUAUACUGCAUUAGUAGUUCUCUGUGUAUUGUAGCAACAGACUCUCAAGAACCCUAGGUGAUGACAUUUAUUGGUACAAAACACAGUCCUAAACUCUACAGUCUUUAAUCUCUAUUCAGCAAAUCCUUGUAAGAAUAAUGUAAGGGUACAUAUGAGUUAUUUUCAUUUGCAUUUAUUUUAAAAUUAAAGAUUAAAAGUUCUAAAAUGUGGAGUUCUGUUGCAGCUCAGUGAGUUAAGGACCCGAUGUUGUCUCUGUAAGGAGGAGGGUUUGACCCUGGGCCUCUCUCAGUGGGUUAAGGACCCUGGUGUUGCCACAAAUUGCAGCAUAUAUUGCAGGCACAGCUCUGAUGUGGUGUUGCCGUGGCAUAGGCCUCAGCUGCAGUUCUGAUUCAACUCCUCACCUGGGAACUUCUAUAUGCUUCGGGUGUGGCCGUGAAAAAAUGAAAAAUUAAAAUAUAUGGUAGUAAGCCACUUGUUGGUUACAUAUCCCAACCAAUUAAGUAUUCUUGUUAGAAAUUUCAGGUCUCUUCCCUACUUUAGAUCUGUGCUGUGUAAUAACGUGGUUAUUGAACACUUGAAAUACGGCUAGUGUGACCAAAGCACUGAAUGUGUAGUUUAAGUGUGAAAAGCAAAAUUCCAUCAGUUGUUAGAAAAAUUUUAAAUAUCUGGAAUAGUGUUUUAGUUUACUGGGACCUCCAUAACAAAGUGCCACAGGGAAUUCUCUGGUGAUGCAAUGGGUUAAGGAUCUGGUGGUGUUGCUGCUGUGGCAUGGGUUUGAUCCCUGCCCUGGGAACUUCCACAUCCUGUGGUGUUGUUAAAAAAAAAAAAAAAAAAAAAAAAG
rnacentral:lncRNA from 1 species